rnacentral:rRNA from 1 species
AGGGUUCGAUUCUGGCUCAGGAUGAACGCUAGCGAUAGGCCUAACACAUGCAAGUCGAGGGGCAGCACAUGAGUAGCAAUACGAUGGUGGCGACCGGCGCACGGGUGAGUAACACGUAUGCAACCUACCUCUAACAGGGGGAUAACCCGUUGAAAGACGGACUAAUACCCCAUAAUACAGGGGCUCCGCAUGGAGAUAUUUGUUAAAGAUUUUAUCGGUUAGAGAUGGGCAUGCGUUCCAUUAGCUAGUUGGUGAGGUAACGGCUCACCAAGGCGACGAUGGAUAGGGGAACUGAGAGGUUUAUCCCCCACACUGGAACUGAGACACGGUCCAGACUCCUACGGGAGGCAGCAGUGAGGAAUAUUGGUCAAUGGAGGCAACUCUGAACCAGCCAAGUCCGCGUGAAGGAUGAAGGUCUUAUGGAUUGUAAACUUCUUUUGCAGGGGAAUAAAUAGCGGUACGUGUACCGUUUUGCAUGUACCCUGCGAAUAAGGAUCGGCUAACUCCGUGCCAGCCGCGGC